GGGGGCGUACUGGCUUCGACGUAUUGUUAAUCGCUAGGGGUGCAUGUCGAGCUUUCAUUGUGUGCUCGUAAAACAAAUGAUGAAAACAAAUAAAUGCAGAAUCUAACGAUUACGCUGAUGUAUCAAUUCAGGGCUUUGCUUUUGCAUAAACCUGUUUGAUCAUUCUUGUUAGGGCGACGUAUCUAUUCGUCAAACUAACUCGUAUUAUAAAAAUAUAGGUUUCACGCUGUAGGUUAAUUUGUUUUGUAAAGCGUGAAUAUCACAAAACAGAGUUAAAUAUAUUGUUUUGUCUUCGAGACGAUAUUUGACUAUAUUCGAAGAAUAAGCAUGUAGUACCUGUAGAGAAAGGUAGUGCGGACAUGGGUUCGACUCCCAUCGCCUCCACCA
rnacentral:tmRNA from 1 species